rnacentral:tRNA from 2 species
UGGGGCGUGGCCAAGUGGUACGGCAGCGGCUUUUGAUGCCGAAGAUCGCAGGUUCGAAUCCUGCCGCCCCAGCCA